rnacentral:lncRNA from 1 species
GUAGAGGGAGAUCUAUGUUGUACAGGAGAGGGAGAUCUCCUUCGUACAAGCAAGGGAGAUCUACGCCGGACAGGUGAGGGUGACCUGCGUUGGAGGGGUGAAGGUGAUCUUCGGCGUCGAGACGUUGAAGGAGAUCUACGCCGCCGAAUUGGAGGGGACCUACGGUGCCAAAUGGGUGAUGGGGACCUACGACGCCGAACAGGUGAAGGCGACCUACGACGCUGAAUUGGUGAAGGCGACCUACGACGCCGAACUGGUGAAGGCGAUCUACGACGAAUUGGUGAAGGUGAUCUGCGUCGAUAUGGAGAUCGCAUUCUGUGGCGCACUGGAGAUGGUGAUCUUCGACGUGAAGAUGAUCUAGACCUUUGUCUAGAAUACAAUGAUAUCCUCCUUGCAGGAGAACG